GACGAACGCNGGCGGCGCGCCUAAUACAUGCAAGUAGAACGCUGAAGGAGGAGCUUGCUUCUCUGGAUGAGUUGCGAACGGGUGAGUAACGCGUAGGUAACCUGCCUGGUAGCGGGGGAUAACUAUUGGAAACGAUAGCUAAUACCGCAUAAGAGUAGAUGUUGCAUGACAUUUGCUUAAAAGGUGCAAUUGCAUCACUACCAGAUGGACCUGCGUUGUAUUAGCUAGUUGGUGAGGUAACGGCUCACCAAGGCGACGAUACAUAGCCGACCUGAGAGGGUGAUCGGCCACACUGGGACUGAGACACGGCCCAGACUCCUACGGGAGGCAGCAGUAGGGAAUCUUCGGCAAUGGACGGAAGUCUGACCGAGCAACGCCGCGUGAGUGAAGAAGGUUUUCGGAUCGUAAAGCUCUGUUGUAAGAGAAGAACGAGUGUGAGAGUGGAAAGUUCACACNGNGACGG
rnacentral:rRNA from 1 species